rnacentral:lncRNA from 1 species
UGUAAUGUAUGUAGUAUACGUUAUAUUGCCCUCCACUGUAUUCCACAUCCAGUGCUUAUGUUUUGCUUACGUCCAGAAAGAAGAAGAGUUUGUGUUCUCUGAUAUAGCUGAAAGACCUGUUCCAUCCCUAUUUAGAGGAUUCAGUGCGCCAGUUCGUGUUGAGACUGAUCUCUCGGAUGAUGAUCUGUUCUUCCUCCUAGCCCAUGAUUCAGAUGAAUUUAACCGGUAAUGUGCCUUUCCACAACAUAUUUUAAUUCUUUGUGCUCUUCGAUCAUUCAUGUAUUUCUGUAUUUUUUAGGUGGGAGGCAGGUCAAGUUCUUGCAAGGAAGCUCAUGCUGAACUUAGUUUCUGAUUUCCAACAAAACAGACCAUUGGUUUUAAACCCAAAAUUCAUUCAAGGUCUUGGCAGCGUGCUUUCUGACUCAACCUUGGACAAGGUAUGUCUCUACAUUCCCCACAUAAUCAAACAAGGAUACGACUUUGUAAUCUUCUAUUGUGUAGGAAUUUAUUGCCAAGGCAAUAACAUUGCCUGGGGAGGGAGAGAUUAUGGACAUGAUGGCCGUGGCAGAUCCUGAUGCUGUUCAUGCUGUUAGAAAGUUUGUUAGAAAGCAGCUUGCGUCUGAACUCAAAACUGAGCUUCUAAAGAUAGUGUGUCUUCUUCUUUCUACAUAGUGAAUCUUUCGGGACCAAAGUUUUCAACUGUUGUUUUUUGUGCAGGUUGAGAACAAUAGGAGCACAGAGGCUUAUGUCUUUGACCACCCAAACAUGGCGAGGCGUGCUUUGAAGAACACGGCUCUAGGUUUGCAUUAACUAGUCUUUUUUUUUCUUUUGUUGAACAAAAAAAACGAGCUUCUCUUUCUUUGCUCAAGUUCUAACUUCAUUAUGUUUGCCUAAUCCAGCUUAUCUUGCAUCUCUUGAGGACCCAUCAUAUGUGGAACUUGCAUUGAGUGAAUACAAGUCGGCCACCAAUUUGACCGACCAAUUUGCUGCUUUAGCAGCUCUUGCCCAGAUCCCGGGUAAAACCCGUGAUAACGUCCUUACUGACUUCUAUAACAAGUGGCAGGGCGAUUACUUGGUAUGGUUCUUAAUAUCUCACAAGUUACUUCCUUCUUGCCUCCAUACUGAGAUUUAUCUGGCUUCUUUUUUCAGGUUGUUAAUAAAUGGUUCCUCCUUCAAUCGUCAUCCGACAUUCCCGGCAAUGUGGAGAAUGUGACGAAGCUUUUGGAUCACCCAGCUUUUGAUCUGCGCAAUCCAAACAAGGCAAGUGAAUUCUCAAUCAAUUUUGCAACUUUCUUUCUCAGAUCCAUGCCUUACAAACAACGAUCAUUCAGGUUUACUCGCUUAUUGGAGGAUUCUGCGGUUCUCCAGUGAACUUCCAUGCCAAAGAUGGAUCAGGUUACAAGUUCUUGGGUGACAUUGUUGUCCAGUUAGACAAAAUCAAUCCUCAGGUUUGGCUCCCAAAACUAAACCUGUGUGUUAUCUUUUGUUGACAAUAAACAAACCUUUACGACUUGCUAUUCUUGUGUCUGAGUCUAGGUUGCUUCUCGUAUGUUAUCUGCCUUUUCGAGGUGGAAGCGCUACGAUGAAACCCGACAAGCUCUGGCCAAGGUAACUGCAAAAAACAGUCUUGUUUCUUUUCUCAAAUACGCAACAAACCAUAUUAGCUUUUGUUGGGUUUAUAAUCUAUAAGAGAAAAAUGUUUAGAUGAAGCUGUUGUGGUUUGCAGGCACAGUUGGAGAUGAUAAUGUCAGCUAAUGGAUUAUCUGAAAAUGUCUUUGAGAUUGCCUCUAAGAGUUUGGCUGCUUGAAAGACAUCAAGGACCAAUCCUCUAUAGAAGAUAACCCUUGUUGAGAAAGUAUACUUGAUGUUCUUACAUAGUGUUUUUUAAUAUGCAAUGAUUAGGACCGUCCUGAUAUUAUGGCGAAGUACACCUGUCGUGUCGAAGCUGACAAGUCACUUUAUCCUGUACUGUUGUCCAAUGGAAACCUCAUUUCUCAAGGAGACAUAGAGGUUAGCAAAGUAGUGAGGCUUUUUUUGGGAAUAAAUGUCCUCUCAUCUUUGUCUUGACUGAACACAUGUCUCUUCGUUGAAAUGUAGGGAGGUCGGCACUUUGCCUUAUGGGAGGAUCCAUUCAAGAAGCCAUGCUAUCUAUUUGCUCUGGUGGCUGGACAGCUAGCGAGCAGAGAUGAUACAUUCACCACGCGCUCCGGUAGGGAGGUAUCUCUGAAAAUCUGGACUCCUGCAGAAGAUCUACCAAAGACUGCUCAUGCCAUGUAUUCUCUGAAGGCGGCCAUGAAGUGGGAUGAAGAUGUAAGUACUUUCAAAAGUUCUUUUAAAUAUUGUAUUUGUUAGGGUAUUGAAUCUGAAUAUUUUGUGGGUUAACCUUUUCCUCUAGGUGUUUGGCCUUGAGUAUGACCUGGAUCUCUUCAACAUUGUCGCCGUUCCAGAUUUUAACAUGUAUGAACAAAUAGUCUUUUACUUUUCUUAUUGUCGAGAAUAAUCAAACUAAUUGAUUUCUGUUCGCUUUUCAGGGGAGCCAUGGAAAACAAGAGUUUGAAUGUAAUUUGUUUUAUAAUAAUAACGUAUCUGUGUUGAUAUUCUAUCUUCUUGAUCAUGUAAGUAUGUCUACCUUGCAGAUUUUUAAUUCCAAGCUUGUCCUGGCAUCUCCAGAAACUGCAACAGAUGCAGAUUAUGCUGCAAUUUUGGGAGUUAUUGGUCAUGAAGUAUGUAAUUGCGCAUUAUGCUGUUUAUGGAAUCUUAUACUGUGUAUGGUUAUUUUCUUAAUAAACGUGUCUGUCAUUGUUUUAUGUGCAGUACUUCCACAAUUGGACAGGUAACAGGUCAGUCUCAUCUAUCCUCUCUUUAUUACAAAUGAUCGGUUCUUGUUGGUUGAAUCUUCCAAUUUUGCUUAUAUGCUUGUCUGCACAAUAACUUGCACAAGAUAGACAUUGUUAUUAUGCGGCCUGGUAUAUGACUAAACUCUAUUUGUGAUAAUAGGGUGACAUGCCGUGACUGGUUCCAACUCAGUCUAAAGGAAGGUCUUACUGUCUUCCGAGAUCAGGUACAUUUAUUCUUCAUAAUUUUAAGAUGCGUAUUGCAAAAUUUUCUCUAUCUAAUCAUUAUACUUCUCAAAAUUUUUAAAGGAGUUUUCCUCUGACAUGGGAAGCCGUACUGUAAAGCGCAUUGCUGAUGUUUCAAAGCUCAGGAUCUAUCAAUUCCCCCAGGUACGUAGUCUUGUACUCCUUUAGGCCACUACAUGGUUUGUUUCGUUUAUUUUAGAGGCCAAAUCCUUUGUUGUUUGAUUUCCAGGAUGCUGGUCCUAUGGCACAUCCUGUUCGCCCACAUUCAUACAUCAAGGUUAGAGAUUCUUGUUACUUAUCUUGCCUUGAAAAUUAUGAUGUACAUGUUACGUUCGGUGUUGAUAAACAUGGCUCUUUAUCUUUCUCUGACAGAUGGACAACUUCUACACAGGCAAGUUUUCUAUUUACUUAAGAAGUCUGGGAUUCUUUCUCAGUAUUGUGUUCCAAUCUAACGUGCUUGUGUUUUCGUAACUGUUCUAAACUUGGAUUACGUGUCUGGCCAUCAUUCUGCUCACUCAGUGACGGUACGGAUCUAAGAAUUUAAUUUUCAUAUGCAGUUUCAUUUCCUGUCAGUCCGUUAUAUGUUAAUUCUGAUAAUAUGCUUUGUUUUCUUUUUUUUGUUGUCGUUUCAGGUUUAUGAAAAGGUUUGGCUCUUCGAUAAUAAUGUUGCUGUUAUAUGCAGUAAGCAAGAAAUCUUAGCUGACUGUAUAAUUUUUUCUUAGGGAGCUGAGGUUGUGAGGAUGUACAAAACUCUACUCGGAAGUGAGGGUUUCCGAAAGGUUGCUUUCCAAAACUGUUUUUUUUUUGGUGUGAAUUCAGUAGCUAGGUCUUUAUUGCGUGCUCCUUAAGCUCACCUCUGUGUGUGAAUAUAUUACAGGGUAUUGAUCUCUAUUUCCAAAGACAUGAUGAGCAAGCUUGUGACCUGUGAAGACUUCUUUGCUGCUAUGCGUGAUGCCAACAAUGCAGAUUUUGCUAAUUUCUUGCAAUGGUAAGUCAUACUUGUAUUGUAUAAUGUCUUGUUUUCAUAUUAAGGAUGUAAACAAUGUUAAUAUUUUAGGUACUCUCAAGCUGGAACUCCAGUCGUCAAAGUGGCGUCCUCUUACAAUGCUGAAGCCCGUACCUUCUCUUUGAAAUUCAGGUUCUGUUCUUAUCAAAAUGACUGUUUCAACACCGAACUGAGUGCCCUGCCUUUAUUGGAUUUGUUGUUGAUACAAAUUGAUUUGAUUUGCUUUGUAAUUUAUAAUUUUUUCCAGUCAGGAGAUACCUCCGACUCCGGGGCAGCCCACAAAAGAAGCUACAUUUAUUCCAGUGGUUGUUGGUCUUCUGGACUCAAGUGGGAGAGACAUUACACUGAGACAUUACACUCUCCUCUGUUUAUCAUGAUGGUACACUGCAGACCAUUUCUAGCAGCAGCACAAUACUUCGAGUGACUAAGGUCAGUCGAGAAUUCCUUAAUACGUUUUGUAAUGUAUGCAGUAUACGUUACAUCGCCCUCCACUGUAGUCCACAUCCAGUGCUUAUGUUUUGCUUACGUACAGAAAGAAGAAGAGUUUGUGUUCUCUGAUAUAGCUGAAAGACCUGUUCCAUCCCUAUUUAGAGGAUUCAGUGCGCCAGUUCGUGUUGAGACUGAUCUCUCGGAUGAUGAUCUGUUCUUCCUCCUAGCCCAUGAUUCAGAUGAAUUUAACCGGUAAUGUGCCUUUCCACAACAUAUUUAAUUCUUUGUGCCCUUCGAUCAUUCAUGUAUUUCUGUAUUUUGUACGUGGGAGGCAGGUCAAGUUCUUGCAAGGAAGCUCAUGCUGAACUUAGUUUCUGAUUUCCAACAAAACAGACCAUUGGUUUUAAACCCAAAAUUCAUUCAAGGUCUCGGCAGCGUGCUUUCUGACUCAACCUUGGACAAGGUAUGUCUCUACAGUCCCUUAUGGACCUCCACAUAAUCAAAACAAGGAUACGACUUUGUAAUCUUGUAUUGUGUAGGAAUUUAUUGCCAAGGCAAUAACAUUGCCUGGGGAGGGAGAGAUUAUGGACAUGAUGGCCGUGGCAGAUCCUGAUGCUGUUCAUGUUGUUAGAAAGUUUGUUAGAAAGCAGCUUGCGUCUGAACUCAAAACUGAGCUUCUAAAGAUAGUAUGUCU